UGAAAGAUCUAUGCUUUAUUUUCACCCUCAUUCGUAUUGGAAAAUUAACACAGCGUUUCUCCUCAAAUUUCAAUGAACAUGAUCUCCUUUUUGCUAAAGGUCGCCUUGAAAAAAAAGACGAAGAGG
ensembl:ncRNA R173.10 ncRNA